GUUAGGAAUAUUGGACAAUGGGCGCAAGCCUGAUCCAGCAAUGCCGCGUGGGUGAAGAAGGUCUUCGGAUCGUAAAGCCCUUUCGACAGGGACGAUGAUGACGGUACCUGUAGAAGAAGCCCCGGCUAACUUCGUGCCAGCAGCCGCGGUCAUACGAAGGGGGCUAGCGUUACUCGGAAUUACUGGGCGUAAAGGGCGCGUAGGCGGCUCUGUUAGUCAGGCGUGAAAUUCCUGGGCUUAACCUGGGGACUGCGCUUGAUACUGCAGGGCUUGAGGCCGAGAGAGGGUGGUGGAAUUCCCAGUGUAGAGGUGAAAUUCGUAGAUAUUGGGAAGAACACCGGUGGCGAAGGCGACCACCUGGCUCGGUUCUGACGCUGAGGCGCGACAGCGUGGGGAGCAAACAGGAUUAGAAACCCUAGUAGUCC
rnacentral:rRNA from 1 species